rnacentral:lncRNA from 1 species
UCCUGUGCUACAUAUUUAGAGACUAUGUGACCAGAGCGCUAGGUCCACAACCUCUUGACACCAUCUGUACUGUGUUCAUGGGAGUACUUAUGACUCUGGAGACUUAGCAGCUUGGUGUCUGAUCACCCUAGGUUAACGACUCUUGGAUUACGGAUACCAGUCUCUCUGCAUCCUCAUCUGUCCACGUAGACAGUCAGCCAGGGAGUGGAAGAAUCCAUUCUUAAGUGGCUCGUGGGUCUCUGGUCGGUCUCAACGAAUGUCGAAAGCAGAGCAUCAGUUGAAAAGAAGAACAGCUAGAAGGUCAUUGAACAAGAGAAACAGCACAGUCCGGGGAAACCAGCUCUUGGGCU